CAGAUGCACCUGUUUAAUGCUUGAUUAUUGAAGUUGUGUUUCUGAUGAACUUCCUGUUCCUCCGCUUCUACUCAUUCAAGCCUUUAACUACUUUUGUGAAUCACCUACGUUGGAUCAAGCCUUCAUUUUUAAAGUGUGUCUCGAGUGUUUAUCUCUUUCAACUUUCUUCACCUAAGGUAUUUAUCCUUUGCCGAAACCCAUAGCCAGAACCUCUGACGUCAUCUCACUCCGACUACCAGCUGUGUCUCUACACCUCUCACACGCUGUUUCUCUGGAGCCGCACAGCACUCGCUCCCUGCAGCCUUCCUCCAGUCUGACCUGUUCAGCGUACGCUGCAUAAUCAAUACCGCUGCUUCCCUGCUGUGACUUUGUUUCAUACCAGUCUCCGCUCAGAUCCACAGAUCCACGAGCUGGCAUGUUUUGUUGGCAUAAAGAUUUUUAUGAACUGUAAUCAUUGCCACACCUAAGACAAAAAUAGUGAUUCCAAGACAAGCAAACUUCUGUUAAAGGCAAGAAAUAUUGGAAGAUCUGCAAGGAAAUUAAAAUGGAAGUUGUGAAAAACGUUUCUCUAUUUAAUUAAAAAGAAAGCAUUUACAAUGAA